CUCAAAUGAAUUGACGGGGACCCGCACAAGCGGUGGAUGAUGUGGUUUAAUUCGAUGCAACGCGAAAAACCUUACCCACCUUUGACAUGGCAGGAAGAUUUCAGAGAUGGGAUUGUGCCCGAAAGGGAACCUGCACACAGGUGCUGCAUGGCUGUCGUCAGCUCGUGUCGUGAGAUGUUGGGUUAAGUCCCGCAACGAGCGCAACCCUUGCCAUUAGUUGCUACGAAAGGGCACUCUAAUGGGACUGCCGGUGACAAACCGGAGGAAGGUGGGGAUGACGUCAAGUCCUCAUGGCCCUUAUAGGUGGGGCUACACACGUCAUACAAUGGCUGGUACAGAGGGUUGCCAACCCGCGAGGGGGAGCCAAUCCCACAAAGCCAGUCGUAGUCCGGAUCGCAGUCUGCAACUCGACUGCGUGAAGUCGGAAUCGCUAGUAAUCGCGGAUCAGAAUGUCGCGGUGAAUACGUUCCCGGGUCUUGUACACACCGCCCGUCACACCAUGGGAGCGGGUCUCGCCAGAAGUGGGUAGCCUAACCGCAAGGAGGGCGCU
rnacentral:rRNA from 1 species